GUCUCCACAACUUCUUUAGUGAACGUUCUCCCGACGCCCGAUGUUCCAAUCAAGAUGGUUGGUUUGAUUUCCUUAACGGCAUCAAUGAGUUUCUUGAUAGGUUUGUGAUCAUGAGCCCAGGGUUUCUUGAAAUGUUGGAGAGUAUCCUUCCUAGAACUUACAAUCAGCCCCUUGGAAUCCACGAGCCAGACUUUUUUGCGUGUCUCUUCCAACGGAGCAUUGGUCUGUUUUGAUAUCUCAAGGGCUAUGAGCUCUGCA
rnacentral:misc_RNA from 1 species